CGGCCCACCACCUUAUCCACCAAAGGCUUGAAUUGGGCCGCACAAAGCUUCUGGAUGCCCAAAGGCAAGCCCAGGUAGGUGCACGAAAAUUGAGCAAUCGGGCAUUGAAGCUCGCUGGCCACCAAAAGCCGCUGGGCCUCCGUGCAACGGAUAAGGUGGGCCACACUUUUCGCAAGAUUCGCCCUGAGACCCGACGCCUGACCGAAAUCCGCAAGGAGUGCGGGACAGGAUCUGAGCUCCCACUUGUCAGGCCGCAGGAAGACGACCACGUCAUCCACGAAGAUCGAAGUACGUCGCCACAUGCCACAGUCGGCUAGGAUGCCGUACUCCGAGGCAGGUCAACAACCUGUUCAACAGAUCCAUAGCCAAGAUGAACAACAUGGGGGAGAGCGGAUCCCCCUGACGAAGACCACAACGAUGGACAAUCUCCUCCCCGGGACGUCGUUCAUGAGCACCCUAGUAGAAGCCGUCCGGAGGAGGCCGCUAAUCCACGACAACCAACGAGAACCAAAGCCCAUCCGGGAGAGGACAUCAAGAAGGAAUGACCAGUGGAUAGAGUCGAAAGCCUUCGUGAUAUCAAGCUUUAAGAGGACCGCAGCUCUCCGCGCCACAUGAAGAAGCUUUGCAGAACCCUGGACGAGAGCAAAGUUGUCGUGCAGACAACGCCCAUGGAUGAAAGCACUUUGAUGGAACCCAAUCAAAUCCGGUAGUCUAGGGGCCAACCGGCAAGCCAAAACCUUGGCCAGGAGUUUUGCGAAGCUGUGGAUAAGGCUUAUGGGACGAAAGUCCUUCAACUCCCUCGCGUCAGGCUUCUUCAACAAUAAGGAGAUGAAAGCCCAAUUAACCUUGACGAGCCCACGUGAAUCAAGCCGGAACAACGAGUGGAAGUAGUCCAUGAGAUCGGCCUUGAUCACAGGCCAACAGGUGGCAUAGAAUCUGCCAGUGAAGCCAUUCGGGCCGGGCACUUGUCCAUGGGGAGCUUCUGGAUAACCUUCCACACUUCCUCCCGAAAGAAGUCCAUGUCGAGCUCCAACAAGUCAUGCGUCACCACCCCGAGGAACUCAAGGUCGCGGGCGCGCGAACUGGCUGCUGAAGGGAGACCGUAAUACGUCAUACUUUCAUAAUUCCACGACGGCGCCCAAGAAACGAAAUCAGAUCAAAAGGCUUCUAGAUGACACGGGCGUUUGGAAGGAAGACCCGGGUACUGAAGUUUUGGAGAAAGUUCAGAGCAGAGUCUCGGAUGCUAUGAACGAGGGUUUCACAGCUCCUUAUACGGCUGAGGAAGUCAAGAAAGGUUUGUUCGAUAUUGGCGACUUAAAGCACCUGUACCAGAUGGUCUCCAUGCCAUCUUCUUCAAGCGAUAUUGGCCGAUGCUUGGUGAUGACCUUGUUCCCGAAGUCCUUGCUGCUGUUAAUUCCGGGUGCAUCCCGCCGUGUUGGAAUGAUACCGUCAUCGUUCUUAUUCCGAAGACAUCCUCGCCGGAGAAGAUUACACAGUUUAGGCCCAUCAGCUUAUGUAACAUGGUCUAUAAAAUUAUUUCAAAGAUGCUCGCUGCCCGGCUUAAAGUCUUCCUACCUGACAUCA